rnacentral:rRNA from 1 species
UACGUAGGGUGCAAGCGUUAAUCGGAAUUACUGGGCGUAAAGCGUACGCAGGCGGCUUGGUAAGACAGGUGUGAAAUCCCCGGGCUCAACCUGGGAACUGCAUUUGUGACUGCCUGGCUCGAGUCUGUCAGAGGGGGGUGGAAUUCCACGUGUAGCAGUGAAAUGCGUAGAGAUGUGGAGGAACACCGAUGGCGAAGGCAGCCCCCUGGGAUGAGACUGACGCUCAUGUACGAAAGCGUGGGGAGCAAACAGG